UCGGGGACUCUAGAGAUUAGAGUUUGAUCCUGGCUCAGGAUGAACGCUGGCGGCGUGCCUAACACAUGCAAGUCGAGCGAGAAGGUUUGAACAGAUUCUUCGGAUGAAGUUGAAAUUGGAGAGCGGCGGACGGGUGAGUAACGCGUGGGUAACCUGCCCUAUGGAGGGGGAUAACUAAGAGAAAUCUUAGCUAAUACCGCAUAAGCGCACAGUAUCGCAUGAUACAGUGUGAAAAACUCCGGUGCCAUAGGAUGGACCCGCGUCAGAUUAGCUAGUUGGUGAGAUAAAAGCUCACCAAGGCGACGAUCUGUAGCCGACCUGAGAGGGUGAUCGGCCACAUUGGGACUGAGACACGGCCCAAACUCCUACGGGAGGCAGCAGUGGGGGAUAUUGCACAAUGGGCGAAAGCCUGAUGCAGCAACGCCGCGUGAAGGAAGACGGUUUUCGGAUUGUAAACUUCUAUCAGCAGGGAAGAAAAAAGACGGUACCUGACUAAGAAGCCCCGGCUAACUACGUGCCAGCAGCCGCGGUAAUACGUAGGGGGCAAGCGUUAUCCGGAAUUACUGGGUGUAAAGGGUACGUAGGCGGCCCAUUAAGUCAGAUGUGAAAGCCCGGAGCUCAACUCCGGGAUUGCAUUUGAAACUGGUGGGCUAGAGUACAGGAGAGGAAAGUGGAAUUCCUAGUGUAGCGGUGAAAUGCGUAGAUAUUAGGAAGAACACCAGUGGCGAAGGCGGCUUUCCGGACUGUAACUGACGCUGAGGUACGAAAGCGUGGGGAGCGAACAGGAUUAGAUACCCUGGUAGUCCACGCCGUAAACGAUGAAUGCUAGGUGUCGGGAGUCGAAUCUCGGUGCCGCAGUUAACGCAAUAAGCAUUCCACCUGGGGAGUACGGUCGCAAGACUGAAACUCAAAGGAAUUGACGGGGGCCCGCACAAGCGGUGGAGCAUGUGGUUUAAUUUGAAGCAACGCGAAGAACCUUACCAAAUCUUGACAUCCUUCUGACCGAUCCUUAAUCGGAUCUUUCCUUCGGGACAGAAGUGACAGGUGGUGCAUGGUUGUCGUCAGCUCGUGUCGUGAGAUGUUGGGUUAAGUCCCGCAACGAGCGCAACCCUUAUUUUUAGUAGCCAGCAUUUCGGAUGGGAACUCUAGAGAGACUGCCGGGGAUAACUCGGAGGAAGGUGGGGAUGACGUCAAAUCAUCAUGCCCUUUAUGAUUUGGGCUACACACGUGCUACAAUGGCGGAUACAAAGAGAAGCGACAGGGUGACCUUAAGCAAACCUCAUAAAGUCCGUCCCAGUUCGGAUUGUAGUCUGCAACUCGACUACAUGAAGUUGGAAUCGCUAGUAAUCGCAGAUCAGAAUGCUGCGGUGAAUACGUUCCCGGGCCUUGUACACACCGCCCGUCACACCAUGGAAGUUGGAGGCGCCCAACGCCAGUGACCCAACCGUAAGGAGGGAGCUGUCUAAGGCGAAAUCAAUGACUAGGGUGAAGUCGUAACAAGGCCGUAAAUCGUCGACUGCAGCAGCAG
rnacentral:rRNA from 1 species